GGGUCCAAUAGAGAGACAGGUACAGGCUUUACUGGACCCUUAUUUGCCCUGGGAUACAAAGUCUCUGAAUCAAACUGCCAAGUUUACAUAUUCCAAUGGAUUGAGAUCAAGUAGACGCUGAGAAGAAAGCACACGUGUCAGUUUUCCAGGAAAGCAGCACUUGAAUGCCAAUAGGGGAUACUGAUGCCAAAAGAGCUGGGUCUUCUGCAUCUUCUUAGAGGUACAAAUGGAUCAUCUGUCCUUUAUAACUGGUCCUGGCCAAGAAGGAGAAGAACGCUGUAGAGACCAACAAGUAUGUAAAAAUCCUCCAGGACCUUCAAGACCCUUCCAUAGCAGAUCUGCUACUGAUGGAUCCUCCACUCCCUUAACUCCCAACCAUGGCCCCAAUUCCCACAGCUCCUCCUCAAGGAUAUCCCUUGAGCCCUUGUCCAUCAUCCCUAAACUCCCUUCCUCUGGCCCCAGCAAGGGGGUAGAGUGGGGAGGGACCCUUGGAAUUAGGACUGGCCAUGGGGACCUGGAGCAACAGUGGCCCUCCCCCUCCGAGCCUAUGGCCCUUAGAUGAGGAUUACAAUCAGACCAUGCAAUAUUGGCCUUUCUCUUUGGCCAACUUGUACAACUGGAAGUUCCACCCCCACUUCCUUUUCAGAUAACCCCAGGGGCUGACUAAUCUCUUUGAGACUGUUUUAUUUCCACAUCAGCCUACUUGGGAUGAUAUCCAACAACUCAUGAUAGUGCCCUUCACAACUGAAGAGUGAGAGAGGAUAAAGCAGGAAGCAAGAAAGAAUGUCCCGUCAGACACGAGGGCACUAUCUAUUGACCAGACCAUCAUCAACAGCUGGUUUUCACUGACUAGACCUGACUGAGACUUUAAUAUUGCCAUAAGGUGAUAUUAAAGGUAAGCGGCAACUGAAGGUAUGUCACCAGGCACCAUUAGCAGGUCUCAAAGGUACUGCACAACGACCCACAACUUUGACCAAGUUAUGUGAGGUUAGACAGGGAUCAGAUGAGUUGUCUGCUGCCUUUCUAGAGCAUUCCACCAGUACACACUCUAUGACCCCAGCAGCAAGGAGCACAAGCUACUGUGACUAUGGCUUUUAUAGACCAGGCUAGUAGAGACAUCAGGAAAAAGCUUCAGAGACUAGAGGGACGACAUGAUAAGUCAUUGAGGAAUUUAGUGUAGGUUGCUGAGAAAGUCUACCAUAACAAGGAGACAGAGAAGGAAAAGAAUCAAAGAAAGAUAAGGGAAGAGGAUGAAAGGGAGAUGAUAAAAAACAAAAGUGACAGGAAAGGAAUUUACAGAAAAUCUUGGCUACAGUAGUUAGGGAAAGCAGACAAGAGAGACUCCUAUCAAAGAGAGACAGAAAAAACCCUUGAAAAGGACCAGUAUGCCCCAAAAUGUCAACGGUGUUAGCCUCAGGUAAAGACAGUGAUUAGGGGAGACAGGGUUUAGACCCCCUCCCUGAAUCCAGGGUAACUAUGAAAGUGGAGCUAAUUGCCCCCACCAAAGCCUUGAAACGUGGAGCCAGCAUGAAAAAUAACAUCUAUGAGGAUAGCAGGUAUGCCUUUGCCACAGCUCACGUCUACGUGGCUGUACACCAAGAGAGAGGACUGCUCAUAUCAGAGGGAAAAGAAAUAAAAAAACAAGCAGGAAAUCUUGGAUCUGAUGAAGUCAGCAAGUGUGGGUAUUAUUCAUUUCCCAGGACAUCAGAAGGGAAGAGACUCAGUGGUCCAAGGCAAUAACCAGGCAGAUCACAUGGCUCAAGACUUGGCUAUGUAGAAGCCUAUCCCGGUUAUGGGCCUGCAAGAGACACCUGCUGGGGAAUGGCACUGGUCUAAGGGAUGGCCUCACUUAAAUAUACUGAAGAAGACAGGACUCAGAUUGCUAGCCACCCUACCAACUAUUACCUAGAGAAGGAAGGACAAUGGCACACACAAGAAGGGAGAACCAUAUCUCUCAGAAAGUAAGCAAAAGACUUACUAGGCCAAAUGCAGAGAUUGACUCAUUUAGGGGAUAAAAUGCUUGUGCAAGCAGUUAAGGGAUCUAAAGUAUAUAUAAUGGACCUCAGGUUUUGGGCCAGAGAUAUAGUAGAAUAGUGUAAGGUAUGCCAGCAAGUGAAUACUUAUGUGGCCAAGAGUAAACAGGACAAAAGACCUAGGGGAGAGUGACCUGGAGUAUAUUGGGAGGUCAAUUUUACAGAAGAUAAGCCAGGAAAAUAUGGUUCCAAAUACCUUCUAGUGUUUGUGGAUACUUUCUCUGGAUGUGUUGGGGUUUUCCUCACCAAGCAGGAAACAGCUUCCAUGGUAGCCAAGGGAUAUUAGAGGAAAUUUUCAGAUUUCCCAAGAUAAUUGGACUGGACAACAGUCCUGCUUUUGUCUCUAAGGUAAGUCAGUAAUUGGCAGAGAUAUUGGGGACUAAUUGGAAGCUCCAUUGUGCAUACCAUACCCAGAGAUCAGGGCAUGUAGAGAGAAUGAAGGAACUCUUAUAGAGACCAUAACUAAAUUGUUAUUUGAGACUGGCACUGACUGGGUGGUGCUCCUUCCCCUGGCCCUGUUCUGAGUCCAGAACACCCCCUACUUUAACCUGACCGCUUUUGAGAUCCUGUAUGGGACCUCCAACUUCCUUGACUCUAGCUUCUAACCCUCCCAGAGUGACUUUUCAGGGUGACAAGUAUCUUAUGGAUUGACUGCAAGCUUUCCAGAUCAGCUACCAGGAAUUGUGGCCUAGCUUAGUGUUAAGAGACAUCAUGCUGAAAACUUGGAACAAAGUGAGAACAGCCAUUCCUGGUGUUCUUGACCACCCUUACCUCUGUUAAAGUGGAUAUAGUAACUGCAUGAGUUCAUGUAACUCAUGUCAGACUAGCACCUGCACCUGACACUAACUGAAUAGCAGCCAGACACCUGAAUAACCCCCUUCUCAAGGCCAGAGAAACCAUGAGAUGCCUAUGGUGUAUCUUCCAGUGCUGAGCCUCAGCAACCCCCACAAUCCUACCAAAGUGACUUGGCAAGUACUCUCAUCCACUGGGGAUAUAGCUUGGUCCACUACAGAGGAACACCCACCUUUUAUUUGGUGGCUAGACCUUGUCUUUGACCUCUCUAAGCUAGCAGUGGGCCUUGACUCCUGGUAUAUCCCCACCCUAGAGACAAAGGGGGGAUUAUCUGAAUGUGGGGGACAAGGGACUUGUGAAUCUAAACUGUGUCCCAGAAGUGGCCUUGGAGGAUUGGGCUGAGGGUGCAAACACUCAAAGUUGUGGAGUGUCCUGCGAGGAACCCCCCCCGCCCCAUAUAUGUAUGUCCCCGAGAUGGGACAAGCCAGCAGCAGGCCCAUCAGUGUUGAAUGGGGGUGACCACUUUUUCUGUGCUACCUGGGGCUGUGAAACAUUGGGAAACACAUACUGGAGACCAUUCUGGGAUAGUUAAAGAUUCAAUGGCCAAGGUGAGAGAAGGGCUAGCCAAGCAGAAGAGAGAAAGAGAACAGAGUCAGAACUGGUUUGAAUCUUGGUUUAACUCCUUCCCUUGGUUACCCACCCUAAUAUACACCUUAUUAGAACCUCUUAUUAUUCCCCUACUAUUGUUGACCUUUGAUCCUUACAUAUUGAACAAGCUUAUAGCCUUUAUAAAAGAGAAAAUAGGAGCAGUGUAGCUGAUGGUUCUGCCCUAACAGUAUGAGAUUCUGAGGAUAGGACCUGAAGAAUAUGAGUUAGUUACCCAAGGCCCCUGAGCAUAGCUCUAGGAUUGGAGCUUAUACAAGAAAAAAAGGGGGGAAUGAGGGACCAUAAGGGCCAGUCCCCCACUCUCAUUACAGCUUCUCCCUCCUGUCUGGGGUAAAGGCUAGGCCAAGUUCCAUUCUCCACUCACAGGAACAUUCUCCAGUGAAAAAUUCUCAGAAUGUCCUGAUAGUCACCUGACCCUCUGGAAAGUCCCAGGUAGAGUUCAAAUGCAUGUCAUACUUGCUAGCAAAUAGAUUUAAAGGUCUAUAUGCUUAGCCAAUAAGUUUGAAUGGUAACCUUGCUGAAGUAACCUAUGCCCCUAAAAAGUAUAAAAAGUGCUUGUAAUAGCCAUUUGGGGUCACCUUCUCGUCACUUGCCUCAAGGGAUUGAUUGAAGGCUGACCCUGAUGCACCAGAAAAUAAACCUCUUGCUUUUGCAUCAAUCUAUGUCUCAGUGUCUCACUCAGGGGCAUCUCAAAGUAAUUACCACUGACCAAGGGUUGGGGUUUUACUGCGUGAUCUGUGGUCAUAGCUCAGUGUGGUCACUGCUG